rnacentral:rRNA from 2 species
UGGGGAAUAUUGCGCAAUGGGCGGAAGCCUGACGCAGCGACGCCGCGUGGGGGAUGACGGCCUUCGGGUUGUAAACCUCUUUCGGCCCCGACGAAGCGUUGAGUGACGGUAGGGGUAGAAGAAGCACCGGCCAACUACGUGCCAGCAGCCGCGGUAACACGUAGGGGGCGAGCGUUGUCCGGAAUUAUUGGGCGGAAAGAGCUCGUAGGCGGUGUGUCGCGUCGGCCGUGAAAACCUGUGGCUUAACUGUGGGCUUGCGGUCGAUACGGGCAUCACUGGAGUUCGGCAGGGGAGACUGGAAUUCCUGGUGUAGCGGUGAAAUGCGCAGAUAUCAGGAGGAACACCGGUGGCGAAGGCGGGUCUCUGGGCCGAUACUGACGCUGAGGAGCGAAAGCGUGGGGAGCGAACAGG